rnacentral:rRNA from 1 species
AUUGAACGCUGGCGGCAGGCUUAACACAUGCAAGUCGAGCGGGGUGAUGGUGCUUGCACUAUCACUUAGCGGCGGACGGGUGAGUAAUGCUUAGGAAUCUGCCUAUUAGUGGGGGACAACAUCUCGAAAGGGAUGCUAAUACCGCAUACGUCCUACGGGAGAAAGCAGGGGAUCACUUGUGACCUUGCGCUAAUAGAUGAGCCUAAGUCGGAUUAGCUAGUUGGUGGGGUAAAGGCCUACCAAGGCGACGAUCUGUAGCGGGUCUGAGAGGAUGAUCCGCCACGCUGGGACUGAAACACGGCCCAGACUCCUACGAGAGGCAGCAGUGGUGAAUAUUGGACAAUGGGGGGAACCCUGAUCCAGCCAUGCCGCGUGUGUGAAGAAGGCCUUAUGGUUGUAAAGCACUUUAAGCGAGGAGGAGGCUCUUUUGGUUAAUACCCAAGAUGAGUGGACGUUACUCGCAGAAUAAGCACCGGCUAACUCUGUGCCAGCCGCCGCCGUAA